CCUACGGGUGGCAGCAGUAGGGAAUAUUGCUCAAUGGGGGAAACCCUGAAGCAGCAACGCCGCGUGGAGGAUGAAGGUUUUCGGAUUGUAAACUCCUUUUGUUAGAGAAGAUAAUGACGGUAUCUAACGAAUAAGCACCGGCUAACUCCGUGCCAGCAGCCGCGGUAAUACGGGGGGUGCAAGCGUUAAUCGGAAUCACUGGGCGUAAAGAGCGCGGAGGCGGGAUAGCAAGUCAGAUGGGAAAUCCUAUGGGUUAAACAUAGAACUGCAUUUGAAACUGUUAGUCUAGAGUAUGGGAGGGGUAGGGGGAAUUCUUGGUGUAGGGGUAAAAUGCGCAGAGAUUAAGAAGAAAACUGAUUGCGAAGGCGACCUUCUAGGACAUGACUGACGCUGAUGCGCGAAAGCGUGGGGAGCGAACAGGAUUAGAUACCCCGGUAGUC
rnacentral:rRNA from 1 species